rnacentral:rRNA from 1 species
GACAGAGGGUGCAAACGUUGUUCGGAAUUACUGGGCGUAAAGCGCGUGUAGGCGGCCCUGCAAGUCGGAUGUGAAAUCCCACGGCUCAACCGUGGAAGUGCAUUCGAAACUGCAGGGCUAGAGUCCUGGAGAGGAAGGUGGAAUGCUUGGUGUAGAGGUGAAAUUCGUAGAUAUCAAGCGGAACACCGGUGGCGAAGGCGGCCUUCUGGACAGUGACGGACGCUGAGACGCGAAAGCGUGGGGAGCAAACAGG